rnacentral:lncRNA from 1 species
ACUCUCUCUAUUUUGCUCUCACUGGUUCCCAGUCUUCCAGUCUAGCUGAGUCUUUUUGGGUGGUCUACCACCAAACUCUGAAGUGUUCCUUCUUUUGUUCUUAUUCCAUUUCUGUUUCAUCAACUUUGGCCAACUGUCCCCUUACCUCUAGUUCUUAACCGAAAUGAAGAAAUACAAAAGGUGGGUCCUUUUCUUUACAUUCACCCAUGACAUGCAGUUUUGUUUUUAACAGUGCUAAACAUUGAAGAAUAGGAAAGAAUCCAAGUUUGUUAAUCCCGAAAUCCUUUUAUUCAUGACACUUUAUCAUCUGGCUUUAACAUAAAUGUCCAUACUUGUAUUUUCCUACUCCUUGCCUUCUCUCUCUCUCUCCCUGGAAUAUAUGUGUUGCAUGGUGUGUGUGUGUGUGUGUGUGUGUGUGUGUGUGUGUGUGUGUGUGUGUGUAUGUGUGUGUGCGAGCAUGUUCGUGCUUACACACACAUGUACACGUAUGUUAUAUUAAAGAUGAAAGCCGUUUCUUCUUAUGUGUCUUUUUUGGUCACGAUCCUGAGAGAAUUGUGUUGAGAAGGAUUAUGGGGAUCAGAAUUAGCUCAUCAAGAGAGAUUGCUUGUGUGUCUUCCACCAGUGUGGAAGAGGCCAUGCAGGGACUAUUCAUUAGCCAGGUAUUACCAGGAUAUUGCUACAUAAUUUCCCUUUCUGCUUAUAUAAAGGUAUGUAUAUGUAUGUUUAUGUAUAUAAGUGUAUGUAUACGUAUAUGUAUGUGUAUAUAUGUAUUCCUCGAGGUUUGGGGGCAGGUGUUAAUCACUAGCGAGCCCUUUCCCCUCUUUUUGCUUUUCUCUAGACAGUGACUAUCAUUGUAGACGUUCCCCUCCAUGAGGGCUGAGCACAUGAGCUCCCUUUCUCACUGUAUUGUUGGUUCUUCCAAGGCUCACUUUUGGGGCAGGGUCUCACUCUGUAGACCAGGCUGACAUGGAACUCACAGAUGGCCUCUGCCUCCAGAGUGCUGGGAUUAAAGAUGUGCAUCACCACACACAGACAAUGAUUUUAAUUUUUUCUUUAAUUUUAUUUUACUGUCCUCUCUCUCUCUCUCUCUCUCUCUCUCUCUCUCUCCCUCUCUCUCUCGUCAUCUUUCUCAUUUCUCCCUGUCCUCUCUCUGUUUCUGUCUCUCUUUGUUUCUGUCUCUGUCUUUCUUUGUUUCUGUCUCUGUCUCUGUCUCUCUCUCUGUCUCUGUCUCUCUCUCUGUGUAUGUGUGUGUGCGUGCAUAUGCAUGUAUGUGAUUGUACUGUGGUUGCAUUGACCACAGAGUCUAGAAGAGGGUGUCAAGUCCCUAGAACUUGAAUUACAGCCCAUUUUGAGUCACCAGAUGUGGGUUCUGAGAACCAAACUGAAAUCAUCAGCAAGAACAAUAUUUGUUCUUAGCCAGUCAGCCAUCGUUCCAGCCCCCACAGACAAUUCCUAAAUAUCCUAUUUUGUUUUAUAUAAUACUUUACAGAUAGUAAAAUAUUUUUGAACCCAUUUCUAGCAAGUUGCUUUUGUUAAGAUGAAACUGACAUUCCAUUUUAAGCAUGUAAGAUACUUUAAGUUAGCACAUGAAAUGGGCUUUAUUAUGGAUUUCCCAUACAUUGCACUUAUUUGCCCCCCGCCCAGCCCCUGCUGCUCACUUCUGCUCCUUCUUUCUGGUCCUUGUCUCCUCUCCAGUGCUCCUUCUCCACUGUCAUGUUACAGGUACCCUGCUACCUUCCUUCCUCUCCUCCCAUGGCUCCCUUUAGUCUCACAAUCCACCCCCAUACACACAAACUAAAGUGCAGGCUCUAUUAUGAAAGAAAGCAGGCAGCAAUUAUCUUUUUGAGGUUGGCUUAUUCUGAAUAAGGCAAUGAUUUUGAGUUCCCCCCAUUUUCCAGUGUGUGUGUGUAGUUUUAUUAUUCUUCACUGCUGAGUGAGCUUCUGUUGCUCCACAUCUUUUUAUCUGUUGUAUGCAGAUGGCCACUCUAGAUUUUUACCUCUUUGCGAUUACAACUAAUGCACAAUAAACAUGGAUGCUUGAGUGUCAUUUUGAUGAGUAAACCUUAAUAAAAAUAGAAUAUAUAAUUAUAUAUUGCAUAACAUACAUACAUAUGACCAUGCAUACACAUGAGCACACACACAUCCCAUGUGUAAUUUAGCUUACUUAUCAGUUCCAUCAUUAAAACAUAUGUCAUGGAAAGUAAUUCCUAAGGAUUUCUGAUGAACGCUCCAAACUUUUAGGACUAUAUCUAAGCUUUCAGAAUAACAUGAUUUCCACACAGUAAUAGUUUGGAAAAGCUUUUAAUGUAAUCAUGUUUGGAAAUACUGGUUUGUUGUUGGGUAAAUCUCAUGUGUCCUGUUCUUAUAACCUUGUGAUUCCCAAAUGACUGGCAAUGCUUAGAUUCAACAACCCACUGCAGUUGCCCCAGGAACCAAGGACUAUGGCUCAUUUGGAGCACAGAAAGUGAGGGAUGGAUAUUUCUGGUCAGUCCAAGGACAGGGAGUUUAGCCUUCCUUACUGUAUUAGCUUUCUGUCACUCUGAUGAAAUUCCUGAUGCAGGAUCCUUAGGAAGUAAAGAGUUUUAUGUUAGCUCAUUGUUCUGGAGAGUGGGUGACCCCAUUAAUUUUGACUUCUCAUGAGUGUAGUUUAUUAUAGGCACACAUUUGAGAGCAAAAUAUAUCUGUAGCCAGAAGUAGGGGUGGGGUGCUGAAUGGCGUCCCACAGUCCCUUUUGCAGGUACACCAUCAAAGACCUAAGGACUGCCCAUUAUGCUCCUCCCUUUUAAGGUUCUUUUUUUUUUUUUUUUUUCACAAAAGCAGUUUUUAUUUGAGGCAAGGAGAAGUCUGACCCAAAGGAUUACAGUUCUAAGCACUCACAUUUAAGUGUUAGUGGCACGGCUUGGACUCUAAAGCUUGCUUCUCUUUGGUUGGAAAGGGUACUUGUGUUAAAGUCCUCCAGGUGGGUAAGAAGAAAGACCAAGGAAGGCUGGAAGAAACACCUUGGCUACUGGUACUGCCCUCCAGACUCUAUGUCAAACUAACUAACUCUCACCAUCUGGUUUGCAAGGUGCCACCUAGUGCAGAGACACAGGACACUUGCAAGGGCAGAUGAGGCAGAAAGAACAGGUGCAAGCCACUUGAGGAGGAGCAGGGAUCCGCUCGCCACAGCUUCAGACUUCGGCGUGGAAGGGGUAAUCCUUGUGUUUGGCACAGCUCAUCAAGGCGCACACCCUCCAGUUCCUGUUGUAGCUGAGUAGAGUGGCCAUGUCCUCGCUGCUCAGCUCAAAGUCAAAGACCUUCAAGUUCUCAGCAAUGCGCACUGGUGUCACAGACUUGGGGAUCACUACCAAGUUCCUCUGAAUGGGGAACCGGAUCAGCACCUGGGCUGUAGUUUUAUUGUACUUGGCUGCAAUUGCUUUGAUCCUGGGAUCCUCCAGGAGAGACGGAUCUUCAGGCUUGGCCCAGGGCCUGUCAGGAGAACCAAGGGGACUGUAUGCUGUCACCACGAUGCCUUUGCUGUGGCAGUAUUCAAUCAGCUUCUCCUGAGUUAGGUACGGGUGGCACUCGAUCUGGUUCACCGCAGGCCUAUAUUUUAAGCCAGGUUUGUUCAAGAUCCUCUCAAUCUGAAGAGGGUUGAAGUUGGAGACACCGAUUGUUUUCACCAAACCUUCAUCCACUAGUUGUUCCAUAGCCGUCCAAGUGUCCACAAAAUCGGUGUCACUAGGUAUCACGUUCCCUGAGGCAUCCAGUGGGAAAUAGUCGGGCCCAGGCUUGAACCCCGUUGGCCAGUGAAUAAGGUAGAGAUCCAGGUAGUCCAGCUGCAGGUCGCUCAGUGUCUUCUGGAAGGCUCCUUUCACCAUGCUCUUGUCAUGGAACGUGCACCACAGCUUGCUGACAAUGAAGAGAUCCUGCCGCUUCACCACCUGCUCCUUGAGCUUCUCCUGGAGGGCCACUCCCACCUCCUUCUCAUUCUGGUACACCUGGGCGCAGUCAAUGUGGCGGUACCCCAAGUCAAUAGCAACUUUCACGGCCUCAGUCACCUGGCCAGGAGGGGACUUCCAGGUGCCCAGGCCCAGGGUGGGCAUCUUGGUGCCGUUGUUGAGUUCCAGAUGGCUGGCCAUGAUCGCUGCACGUUACAAACCCGGACCGGCAAAUGUGCCCCUUUUAAGGUUCUUGGUGCUUGUCAGAGUACCUUACCCUGGUGUGGUGGUUAGUAUAUGCUUGGCCUAGAGAGUGGCACUAUUUGGAGGUGUGGCCUUGUUGGAGUAGGUAUGGCUUUCUUGGAGGCAAUAUGUCAUUGUGGGUGUGGACUUUGUCUUAGCCAGUCUCCUCCUAGCUGCCUUUGGAACAAGAGGUAGAACUCUCAGCUCCUACACCAUGCCUGCCUUGACACCACCAUGCUCUUGCCUUGAUGAUAAGGGACUGAACUGCUAAGCCUGUAAGCCAGCUCCAAUUAAAUGUUGUCCUUAUAAACGUUAUCUUGGUCAUGGUGUCUGUCCACAGCAGUAAAACCCUAACUAAGACCCUGGCUCCUAGGAGUUUGCAGAUGGACCUUUAGGGAUCCCUACGUUACACCCUAACCACAGCAAACAUAUCAAUCGCUCUGCUUAAGCAAACAUUUGACAUUGUGGUACCAUAUGGUGGUAGCAUGUAUAUAGGCUGGUUGUAGUAGAUUAUUAACAAGCUUACAGUGUUCAAUCUUACUGUUGUGUUCUCAGAUCUGAACCAAUAUUUAUAGAACAUUCAAAUGAUUAAACUAAAUCAAAUAUAGAAAAAGACGACACAAAAGCUUUAAAUUCCCAUAUUUGAGGGGGGACAUGUAAUUUAUUUGGGUCAGCGACAAGUUAAUCUUCCUGCAGGUUUAAUAAGUAGUUACUCAACAGUGUUCUGUUGUGUGUGUGUGACUGGGGAGGGCAGAUGGAAAGCUUGCGGGGCUGUUUUCCUAAGUGAGCCAAGAGGACAGGAAUGUUGAGCUAGCUGUUGCAAGUGUGAGAAGAGAUAAGUGAACAGAAAGUGCUGUGUAAACG